AGAGUUUGAUCCUGGCUCAGGAUGAACGCUAGCUACAGGCUUAACACAUGCAAGUCGAGGGGCAGCAUGUUGGUUGCUUGCAACCAACGAUGGCGACCGGCGCACGGGUGAGUAACGCGUAUCCAACCUACCCUUGUCCAUCGGAUAACCCGUCGAAAGGCGGCCUAACACGAUAUGCGGUUCACGGCAGGCAUCUAAGGUGAACGAAAUGUGAAGGAGAAGGAUGGGGAUGCGUCUGAUUAGCUUGUUGGCGGGGUAACGGCCACAAGGCUACGAUCAGGUAGGGUUCUGAGAGGAACGGUCCCCACAUUGGAACUGAGACACGGUACCAAACUCCGUACGGGAGCA
rnacentral:rRNA from 1 species